rnacentral:ncRNA from 1 species
AUGGAAGUCGAAAUCCGCUAAGAAGUGUGUAACAACUUACCUGCCGAAUGAACCAGCCCUGAAAAUGGAUCGCGCUGCAGCGGGUUACCGAUACCAGGCAAUUAUGAACACUCAACUUUCCGCGGUAAUGAGUAGGAAG